rnacentral:lncRNA from 1 species
GACUAAACUAAAUGUCCGCCAGGUGGCGGAUUGUCUAUUCGCGAGUGACGAAUUUUGGUCAUUCGUUUCCGAGACACUCAGUGAGGACGAAGGCCUAUUACAAUGUAUUGGUACUGCGGCAUUUCCAUCAUGAAAGUUAAGUUUAAAAAGAUUUUGUUUCGUUACGAGACUGUAUGAUUGCUGAACGUAAAAUUAAAAAUUUUACAUGUUUAUUUACAGGAAAUCUAACCUGUAAUUUCAAAUCUGCCAAAUCACCUUGCCAGUUGUCACAUUCAUGUGGCCUGAAAAUGAUGUUGCUUGCUACUUGAAUCGGAUGUAUGUACAGCCCAUGCAGAAACACUUGACAGAAAACAACUGAGUAUGAGCUGCACCCAGAUGGUGGAAGGUGUGAAAAAGUCAGCUGUUGCAUUCAGUUUGUGAGAUGCAGAAACCAGAAAUGAUUCACAGAAAGGUGGCGGAGUGUCUGUUCGUGAGUGACGAAGCCGCCAUUUGCUUUUGAGGCAGUGUACGGUGGUGUACGGGAAUGGGUUGCUGCUUCAUGAUGGUCUUCACUUUUACAUUUGAAAAAAUGUUUCCACGCCAUUCGACCAAGCUGAAUGGAAAGUGAACAAUUUUAAAGCAAAUCUUGCCUUUAUCCACGUGAUCGCUGCCGUGUCAUGAAGGUGUGUCUUUGAGAGGGUCUCUACUAUAUUGCAAGACAAAAAUGUGAUGAAAACAGGAAAUCUGAAAUGCAUCUGAGUAUGAGCUGCAGCCAGUUGGUGGAAGUUGUGAACAUGUUAGCUGUUGCAAUCAGUUUGUGAGGCAUCUCAUGCAGAAACCAGAAAUGAUAAGCAUGUCGGAGAUCUUGCCUUUCUCAACGCGCGGUGCCGUAUCAACAAGAUGUCUCUUUAAUGAGGUCUCUACUAUAUUGCAAAACAAAAAUAUGAAGAAAACAGGAAAUCUGGAAUGGAUUCCAUGGUCAGUUUGAUGUUUGAGCUGUUUAUGGUGUUGCUGUUUGGUGUGAAGUGGGUUUGCAGCGGUUUGCAGUAAUUUUCUACUUGAGAGAUGCGCUGAAAUGGAGUUUCGUCAGACUUGCAGUUCAAUAUCAUACUUCAAUGUGUUAUUUCCCUAUGUUUGUGUCCGUCCCGUGUUUGAGGUGGUGGGCAAAACAGUCAUUGUUGUCUAAUGGCUGCCGAGGCAUAAUUUAUCGACUGCAUUUUGUCUAUGUCUCUUGCUAUCUGUACUGGCGUUGAGGUAGUGCUUGAUGAACAGUAUCAUUUAGUUUUUCAGUCGUUAUUGCAGCCUAUGUUGGUAAAAGAUCUAUUUGCAUCAAGUUAACCUGGCUGUUUUUUGUGUUGGUGCAGUGUUACGAAAGUUGCAUCAUUAUUUUGUUGAAUUGUCAUUGUGUCUGCAGUUUAUCGUUUAUAUGUUAGGAAGGAAAAAAAAAACAUAUGGGGAAUUCAUGUCAAAAAAUUAAUAAACAUGCUUUCGGGAUUGGGAAAGGAAUGUGGAGGUUGUCAGGUGGGAGGGUAGUGACUUGAAUUUUCAUAUCUCAAAAUAUAAUGAGGUAUGUUAAUAUGUUCUGAUGUGAAAAACGUGGAUAAAAACUUUAUAAAUCCACAACAACUCCUAUAAUGUUACAACCUAUUACCUAAUUAAUCUAAAAUCAUACAACACUUAUAAUCCUCUAACCUUAUACCUAAUUAA